ACAGAGUCUCAUUACCCAGGCUGACCUUGAUCUCCUGGGCCCAAGCAGUCCUCCCACCUCAGCCUCUCCAGUAGUUGGGACUGCAGGCAUGCACCACUGUGCCAGGCUAAACCGUAACAUUUUCUUGUGGUUGAUUACCUCACCCUUGAGACUCAGUAGUUCUUGAUGUCUUUCCUUGUAGGAAAGCAGCUGCUGUUUUGGAUCUCAGUUUGAUUGAAGUGGUGACUAUCCCUUUGGUACCAUUGAGACCAGAAACCAGACCACCAAUUGGACAUUGUUUUUUUCUGGUUAUCCUGUCCUGCCUUACUAUGAGAUUUACGGAUGUUUGGGGACACAGGUCUCUGGGCUCAUUUCUUUUUCUGAGGAUUCAUAUAAUUCCCUAGUUUUUGGCUUAGAGGUUGGUCCUUCCCUGGUUUAAUGAUGCUUUUGUUCAGACUGUCCUCUAGGACUUGAAUUUGGAGCAGAAACAGAACAGCACCUGAUCCUCAGUUAUACUGCAAAGCAGGGCCUCAGAAAGGGUAACUCCAAUUACUGACUUUCACCUAAGGUGAAAAAGCAUCCAGCUUCUUUCCCCUUGGCAUCUUUGGAUCUUCUGAGAAUGGUGGCUGAAGGCAGAGGGCCUGGGGACAAGCCAGCCUGGACAUGACUCCUCUGCUGCUUAUUAAUUCCUUACCUGAACUACUCUUGGAACCUCGAUUCCUUCAUGGGCAAAAUGGUCACAUAAUAGCACCAUCACAAGACUUGCCAGGAAUCUAGAGCAAGAGGAUAACAUCUAAAGCAUCUAGCUUAGGUCCUUACACCUGGAAGGUAUUAAAUACAGGCUAGCUCCUUCCAUAGAUGCCCAUCCAAAGAUGCAUAAAUGAGGUGGCAGGGGAUUAAACUAUAUGACCUCUGAGAUCCUUUCCAGUUCUUAGUUUUGAGGGGGGUCAAUGGCAGUAAUUCAGAUAUAUUGUUUUAUCAUAGUUAAUUGAGUAUCAACAUGUCAAAUUGGCAUUUAUUGUGUUACCUUGGGCAAAUGAUAUAACUUAAGUCUUAAUUUUCUUUAUUCUUGAAAUGGGAUAGUAAGAGUACCUACCUCAUAAUGUUAUGAAGGUUUAAUGAGAUAGCCUCAUGCCAGGCAGAGUACACAGUAAGUGCUCAAUACUUAACUAUUACUGUUAGAUGUUGGUUUGCUUAUUCUUCUGGCUCUGAUUUUUUUCCCCUUUACUCUUUUUGUUUUUGUUUGCAUUUCAGGGUGAAACUUCCUACAUCCGAGUUUAUCCUGAGAGAAGCACCAGCUAUGGCUACUCACGGUCUCGGUCUGGGUCAAGGGGCCGUGACUCUCCAUACCAAAGCAGGGGUUCCCCACACUACUUCUCUCCUUUCAGGCCCUACUGAGACAGGUGAUGGGAAUUUUUCCUUUAUUUUUUAGGUUAACUGAGCUGCUUUGUGCUCAGAAUCUACAUUCCAGAUUGAGGAUUUAGUGUCUUAGGAAAUUUUUUUAAUUUUUUUUUUUUUAAAAGAAGAAAAAAAAACUACAUAAUUUCUACCAGGGCCAUAUUAGCAGUGAAACAUUUUAAACUGCAGAAAUUGUGGUUUUGGUUCAGAAACAAGUUGUAUAUUUUUCACCCCUGAUUAUGGGAAAAAAAUCAGUUCUGUCUUUGUGGGUUGCUCUACUAUGGAGAUCAACAGUUACUGUGACUGAGUCGGCCCAUUCUGUUUAGAAA
rnacentral:sRNA from 1 species